CCGCGGAUCCGGUUCGCUAUUUCUACAACUGUUGCGGAAGAUAUAAACAUAAAUUGUUUAUACAUUAAACUUUACACACUAUUCCCAAAAUCGAGUAACCUUAACUAAUACACAAUCGUGAACUGUCUAACACAUGACAAUACUAUUCUUCAACAUACUUUACAACUUAACUUCACAUUCUAUCCCAAGCUGAACUUGGCAUUAUCCUUUUCCUGUAUCUGGCCGUAUUCGCCUUAUCUGCAAUGUUUUAUCAUGAUAUAGCAAGGGUGAGCAUGAAAGUUGCCCAGCAAGUUUAAAAAAAACAAGGUAAAGAUAUAUCAUGAUUGAAAGAGUUUGAAUAAUAAGCUGGCUAUCCUUCACAAUGUAGUUGUGAAUUAGCAUGAACAAAAUUUCAAAGCUGAAUGAACAUUGAAAAUGAACAUAACAAUUAUAUCUGAACUGACUGGUAAUGAAGGUGAUCAGCCUUUCAUACCUGAUGAAUACAUGCAAUAUGUACAGAGUACAAUUCAUAAGCAUAUCUGUCUGAAACCACUCUUAAAAGAGUUUAAGUAAAAAGAACUUGAAAAACUUGCACCAUAAUUGGAAGUUCAAGUUUAGGAACUUGCCUGUACCGUUGAUUACCGUAACGCAAUAUAAUACGCUUCUCCUGAAGACCUAAUAUUAAUAAUAUAGAUCUCCAGUAUUAGAAUAAUAUCAUCUCAGUUAUAAAAUAACUUAAACAUAUUACCACAUAAUCUUAUCAGUCUCUUAUACACAUAAGACAUAGCUUCAAGUCAAACUAUUACAGUCCGAGUUGAAAUCGGUACAAUUCUUUCAUCCCGAUGGUCUAAUCGGACAAUUAACGAGUCUAAGUUUAAUUAAACUCUGCCUAAACACUUGACGAUAUCACAGAUAAUUUUCUUAUCAGUCUAAAUGAUUUUCAUAAGCUUGAAAUAUUUUUCAGAUAAUUAAUAUCAUUUAUCUAAAUUUUCCGAUCAUUAAUAACGUAUUUAAAUGAAUUAAAUACCACAUAAUUCUUUAAUCAUUAAUAUCUAUUUAAUAUCAAAUAUUAAUGAAAAUCAUUACAUAAUAUUAUAAUAUAAUUUAUAAUAUAUCACGGUAUUUUUAAUACCUUAAAAUCACAUUUAUAUGAUUUUUAAACACUUAAAAU
rnacentral:lncRNA from 1 species